ACACACAUGGUGAAACGGUAUCAUGCUUGCCUUCCAGCUGCUCACUAGCGCUAUAGCAAGCGGCGUGGGUUCGACUCCCGCUGUGUGUA